UUACGUCCACAUCACGGUGAAAUCCUGGUUCCCAUACGAUCACCGAAGUUAAGCAACGUCGAACCUGGUCAGUACCUAGAUGGUUAACCGUUGGAAAAUACCACGUGCCGUAGG